UUUACGGAGAGUUUGAUCCUGGCUCAGGACGAACGCUGGCGGCGUGCUUAACACAUGCAAGUCGAACGAUGAUGCCCAGCUUGCUGGGCGGAUUAGUGGCGAACGGGUGAGUAACACGUGAGUAACCUGCCCCUGACUCUGGGAUAAGCGUUGGAAACGACGUCUAAUACUGGAUAUGAUCACUGGCCGCAUGGUCUGGUGGUGGAAAGAUUUUUUGGUUGGGGAUGGACUCGCGGCCUAUCAGCUUGUUGGUGAGGUAAUGGCUCACCAAGGCGACGACGGGUAGCCGGCCUGAGAGGGUGACCGGCCACACUGGGACUGAGACACGGCCCAGACUCCUACGGGAGGCAGCAGUGGGGAAUAUUGCACAAUGGGCGAAAGCCUGAUGCAGCAACGCCGCGUGAGGGAUGACGGCCUUCGGGUUGUAAACCUCUUUUAGUAGGGAAGAAGCGAAAGUGACGGUACCUGCAGAAAAAGCACCGGCUAACUACGUGCCAGCAGCCGCGGUAAUACGUAGGGUGCAAGCGUUGUCCGGAAUUAUUGGGCGUAAAGAGCUCGUAGGCGGUUUGUCGCGUCUGCUGUGAAAUCCCGAGGCUCAACCUCGGGCUUGCAGUGGGUACGGGCAGACUAGAGUGCGGUAGGGGAGAUUGGAAUUCCUGGUGUAGCGGUGGAAUGCGCAGAUAUCAGGAGGAACACCGAUGGCGAAGGCAGAUCUCUGGGCCGUAACUGACGCUGAGGAGCGAAAGCAUGGGGAGCGAACAGGAUUAGAUACCCUGGUAGUCCAUGCCGUAAACGUUGGGCGCUAGAUGUAGGGACCUUUCCACGGUUUCUGUGUCGUAGCUAACGCAUUAAGCGCCCCGCCUGGGGAGUACGGCCGCAAGGCUAAAACUCAAAGGAAUUGACGGGGGCCCGCACAAGCGGCGGAGCAUGCGGAUUAAUUCGAUGCAACGCGAAGAACCUUACCAAGGCUUGACAUACACCGGAAACGGCCAGAGAUGGUCGCCCCCUUGUGGUCGGUGUACAGGUGGUGCAUGGUUGUCGUCAGCUCGUGUCGUGAGAUGUUGGGUUAAGUCCCGCAACGAGCGCAACCCUCGUUCUAUGUUGCCAGCGCGUUAUGGCGGGGACUCAUAGGAGACUGCCGGGGUCAACUCGGAGGAAGGUGGGGAUGACGUCAAAUCAUCAUGCCCCUUAUGUCUUGGGCUUCACGCAUGCUACAAUGGCCGGUACAAAGGGCUGCGAUACCGUAAGGUGGAGCGAAUCCCAAAAAGCCGGUCUCAGUUCGGAUUGAGGUCUGCAACUCGACCUCAUGAAGUCGGAGUCGCUAGUAAUCGUAGAUCAGCAACGCUACGGUGAAUACGUUCCCGGGCCUUGUACACACCGCCCGUCAAGUCAUGAAAGUCGGUAACACCCGAAGCCGGUGGCCUAACCCUUGUGGAAGGAGCCGUCGAAGGUGGGAUCGGUGAUUAGGACUAAGUCGUAACAAGGUAGCCGUACCGGAAGGUGCGGCUGGAUCACCUCCUUU
rnacentral:rRNA from 1 species